rnacentral:rRNA from 1 species
UACAGAGGUCUCAAGCGUUGUUCGGAUUCAUUGGGCGUAAAGGGUGCGUAGGCGGCGCGGUAAGUCGGGUGUGAAAUCUCGGGGCUUAACUCCGAAACUGCAUUCGAUACUGCCGUGCUUGAGGACUGGAGAGGAGACUGGAAUUUACGGUGUAGCGGUGAAAUGCGUAGAUAUCGUAAGGAAGACCAGUGGCGAAGGCGGGUCUCGUGGACAGUUCCUGACGCUGAGGCACGAAGGCCAGGGGAGCAAGCGGG